rnacentral:rRNA from 1 species
GAUGAACGCUGGCGGCGUGCUUAACACAUGCAAGUCGAACGGACAGGCCGAAGCUUGCUUCGGUACUCGAGUGGCGAACGGGUGAGUAACACGUGGGUGAUCUGCCCUGUACUUCGGGAUAAGCUUGGGAAACUGGGUCUAAUACCGGAUAUGACGAUCUCUUGGAUGGGGUUGUGGAAAGCUUUUGCGGUAUGGGAUGAGCUCGCGGCCUAUCAGCUUGUUGGUGGGGUAUUGGCCUACCAAGGCGUCGACGGGUAGCCGGCCUGAGAGGGUGUACGGCCAGAUUGGAACGGAGAGACGGCCCAGACUCCUACGGGAGGCAGCAGUGGGGAAUAUUGCACAAUGGGCGCAAGCCUGAUGCAGCGACGCCGCGUGGGGGAUGACGGCCGUCGGGUUGUAAACUCCUUUCGCUAACGACGAAGCCUUUUGGUGACGGUAGGUUGAGAAGAAGCACCGGCUAACUACGUG